rnacentral:rRNA from 1 species
GAUAAACGCUAGCGGCAGGCUUAACACAUGCAAGUCGAGGGGUAUAGUUCUUCGGAGCUAGAGACCGGCGCACGGGUGCGUAACGCGUAUGCAAUCUACCUUUUGCAGAGGGAUAGCCCAGAGAAAUUUGGAUUAAUACAUCAUGGUAUGUGAGAAUGGCAUCAUUUUCACAUUAAAGUCACAACGGCAAAAGAUGAGCAUGCGUCCCAUUAGCUAGUUGGUAAGGUAACGGCUUACCAAGGCAACGAUGGGUAGGGGUCCGGAGAGGGAGAGCCCCCACACUGGUACUGAGACACGGACCAGACUCCUACGGGAGGCAGCAGUGAGGAAUAUUGUACCAUGGGCGCAAUCCUGAUCCAGCCCUGCCGCGUGCAGGAUGACGGUCCUAUGGAUUGUAAACUGCUUUUGUACAGGAAGAAACACUGGUUCGUGAACCAGCUUGACGGUACUGUAAGAAUAAGGAUCGGCUAACUCCGUGCCAGCCGCCGCGGUAACAC